rnacentral:rRNA from 1 species
AACGAACGCUGGCGGCGUGCUUCAUACAUGCAAGUCGAACGAGAAAGUCUUAGCAAUAGGGCGAGUAAAGUGGCGCACGGGUGCGUAACACGUGAGAAACAUUCCUCGAUGUUUGGGAUAAGCUUGCGAAAGCGGGUCUAAUACCGGAUGUGACUGUCGGAUGGCAUCUUCUGACAUUUAAAGGCGGUUGAGUCUAUGCCGUCGCAUCGAGAUUGUCNCGCGGCCGAUUAGCUAGAUGGCGGGGUAAAAGCCCACCAUGGCACCGAUCGGUAGCCGACCUGAGAGGGUGUACGGCCACACUGGGACUGAGAUACGGCCCAGACUCCUACGGGAGGCAGCAGUAGGGAAUAUUGGACAAUGGGCGCAAGCCUGAUCCAGCAACGCCGCGUGGAUGAUGAAGCAUCUUGGU